rnacentral:rRNA from 1 species
AGUGAACGCUGGCGGUAGGCCUAACACAUGCAAGUCGAACGGCAGCACAGUAAGAACUUGCUCUUACGGGUGGCGAGUGGCGGGCGGGUGAGGAAUACAUCGGAAUCUGCUUUUUCGUGGGGGGUAACGUAGGGAAACUUACGCUAAUACCCCAUACGACCUACGGGUGAAAGCGGGGGAUCUUCGGACCUUGCGCGAUUGAAUGAGCCGAUGUCGGAUUAGCUAGUUGGCGGGGUAAAGGCCCACCAAGGCGACGAUCCGUAGCUGGUCUGAGAGGAUGAUCAGCCACACUGGAACUGAGACACGGUCCAGACUCCUACGGGAGGCAGCAGUGGGGAAUAUUGGACAAUGGGCGCAAGCCUGAUCCAGCCAUACCGCGUGGGUGAAGAAGGCCUUCGGGUUGUAAAGCCCUUUUGUUGGGAAAGAAAAGCAGCAGGUUAAUACCCCGCUGUUCUGACGGUACCCAAAGAAUAAGCACCGGCUAACUUCGUG